CAGCCGCCGCGGUAAUGCGUAGGGUGCGAGCGUUAAUCGGAAUUACUGGGCGUAAAGCGUGCGCAGGCGGUUUUGUAAGACAGGCGUGAAAUCCCCGGGCUCAACCUGGGAAUGGCGCUUGUGACUGCAAAGCUAGAGUGCGGCAGAGGGGGAUGGAAUUCCGCGUGUACCAGUGAAAUGCGUAGAUAUGCGGAGGAACACCGAUGGCGAAGGCAAUCCCCUGGGCCUGCACUGACGCUCAUGCACGAAAGCGUGGGGAGCAAACAGGAUUAGAUACCCCUGUAGUCCCUGUCUCUUAUAC
rnacentral:rRNA from 1 species